rnacentral:rRNA from 1 species
GACGAACGCUGGCGGCGUGCUUAACACAUGCAAGUCGAACGGAAAGGCCCUGCUUUUGUGGGGUUCUCGAGUGGCGAACGGGUGAGUAACACGUGAGUAACCUGCCCUUGACUUUGGGAUAACUUCAGGAAACUGGGGCUAAUACCGGAUAGGAGCUCCUGCUGCAUGGUGGGGGUUGGAAAGUUUCGGCGGUUGGGGAUGGACUCGCGGCUUAUCAGCUUGUUGGUGGGGUAGUGGCUUACCAAGGCUUUGACGGGUAGCCGGCCUGAGAGGGUGACCGGCCACAUUGGGACUGAGAUACGGCCCAGACUCCUACGGGAGGCAGCAGUGGGGAAUAUUGCACAAUAGGCGGAAGCCUGAUGCAGCAACGCCGCGUGCGGGAUGACGGCCUUCGGGUUGUAAACCGCUUUCGCCUGUGACGAAGCGUGAGUGACGGUAAUGGGUAAAGAAGCACCGGCUAACUACGUG